ACGCUAGCGGCAGGCCUAAUACAUGCAAGUCGAACGAUAGUUGUCAGCUUGCUGACAACGAAAAGUGGCGCACGGGUGCGUAACGCGUAUGCAACCUACCUUAAUCAGGGGGAUAGCCCGAAGAAAUUCGGAUUAACACCGCAUAAAAACACAGUACAGCAUUGUACAAUGUUCAAAUAUUAAUAGGAUUAAGAUGGGCAUGCGUGACAUUAGUUAGUUGGCGGGGUAACGGCCCACCAAGACCACGAUGUCUAGGGGAUCUGAGAGGAUGACCCCCCACACUGGUACUGAGACACGGACCAGACUCCUACGGGAGGCAGCAGUAAGGAAUAUUGGUCAAUGGGGGCAACCCUGAACCAGCCAUGCCGCGUGCAGGAAGACAGCCCUCUGGGUCGUAAACUGCUUUUAUUCGGGAAUAAACCUUUCUACGUGUAGGAAGCUGAAUGUACCGAAGGAAUAAGGAUCGGCUAACUCCGUGCCAGCAGCCGCGGUAAUACGGGAGGAUCCAAGCGUUAUCCGGAUUUAUUGGGUUUAAAGGGUGCGUAGGCGGCUGUUUAAGUCAGGGGUGAAAGACGUUAGCUCAACUAACGCAGUGCCCUUGAUACUGAAGAGCUUGAAUGGACUAGAGGUAGGCGGAAUGUGACAAGUAGCGGUGAAAUGCAUAGAUAUGUCACAGAACACCGAUUGCGAAGGCAGCUUACUAUGGUUUAAUUGACGCUGAGGCACGAAAGCGUGGGGAUCAAAC
rnacentral:rRNA from 1 species